rnacentral:rRNA from 1 species
AUUGAACGCUGGCGGCAGGCCUAACACAUGCAAGUCGAGCGGAUGAAGGGAGCUUGCUCCUGGAUUCAGCGGCGGACGGGUGAGUAAUGCCUAGGAAUCUGCCUGGUAGUGGGGGAUAACGUCCGGAAACGGGCGCUAAUACCGCAUACGUCCUGAGGGAGAAAGUGGGGGUUCUUCGGACCUCACGCUAUCAGAUGAGCCUAGGUCGGAUUAGCUAGUUGGUGGGGUAAAGGCCUACCAAGGCGACGAUCCGUAACUGGUCUGAGAGGAUGAUCAGUCACACUGGAACUGAGACACGGUCCAGACUCCUACGGGAGGCAGCAGUGGGGAAUAUUGGGCAAUGGGCGAAAGCCUGAUGCAGCCAUGCCGCGUGUGUGAAGAAGGUCUUCGGAUUGUAAAGCACUUUAAGUUGGGAGGAAGGACAGUAAGUUAAUACCUUGCUGUUUUGACGUUACCAACAGAAUAAGCACCGGCUAACUUCGUG